CACAUAUUCUGCUUCAAAAAUCUAUCUUUGAUUCAACAUUCAAAUAAAAAAUCAACAAAUUAAACCAUCCAUAAAUCAACAACAAAUUCUAUCGCAAAGAAGAAAUGCAUAAAAAUUGGAGCACCAAAGGAGUAGGAAGCUACACAGAAGCAAAAGUAGACUUUCAAAAGCCUUGAACCCAGAAUUGCAGAACCCAGAUGAUGAAGGCAAUGAUCUGAGGCGUGAAAGAAGAGUGACUUGCAUACCCAUAGAUCGAG
rnacentral:misc_RNA from 1 species